UUCUUAAUGAUUUCAAAAGCAUACUUCCAGGGAGCCUCACUCUCUGCAUUGGGAGCUUAUAGGAACUGUUUAUUCUGAGGCCCCAAGGGUUGAUGGGAGAGGAGAUCUUAAAUAGCACAGGUGCUGGUCUUGUUUUCAUGCUGACUGUGCCUCUGAGGCUUUUUUUUUUUUUUUUUUUUAUUCAUCCUUUUGUAAAUUUCUCUCUCAUCCAAGGUGCUUUACCUUGAGGAGGCCUUUAUUCAAGUCACAUUGGAAGACUGAGAGGACAGUAGCUGCUGACCUGGGUUGCUGUGCUCUUCCUGAACUAUCUCACACCUAAUCUUCAACUUGAUGCCUGUGACCACACUAUGACAGCAGUCUCCAGCCUGUUGCACAUUAGAAUCACCUGAGGAAUUUUCAGAAAUGCUAAUGCUUGGGUUUCACCCCAGAACACUUGAAUCAGGGUUUCUGGUGGUGGGCCUAGGAUUUGGGUCUUUAAAAAUCUCCCCAGGUGAAGACAAAGUAAGAAGACAGGCCAUCUGUGAAUGAGGAAGCAGGCCUUCACUGGACAUUAGAUCUGCCGGUGCCUGGAUCUUGAAUCUGCUGGUGCCUUGAUUUUGGAUUUCCCAUUCUCCAGAAUUGUAAGUAAUAAAUUUCUUGUUUAUAAGCCAUCUGGUAUUUUGAACUGGGUGGUAUUUUGUUAAAGCGACCGGAAUAGUCUAAGACAAUCAUAUUAUUUUCUUUAAAAGUAUAAAAUUCAACCAGUAUUAUUAAUGUCCUUAAGUGGGAUUCACAACUAUAAGAUUUAAAUAAAUGUAAGCAUAUAAGGUCAAGGUAGUUAUCUUACUCACCACUCUUAUAGAAUCAAUGUCAGAAUUCAAGCCUAUAGUGGUUCAGCAGCUCUGCCAGUUUGCAAAUCCUUGAAGCCUCUUUGCUAAUCUAAGGAGACUGUCUUCUGGGAAGAGAAAGCUCUUGUUUGCCAUAAAACACUCUUUGGGUAUAUGAACAUGUUUUCUUUUUAAAACGCUAAGAAAUGAAUAGCAAAGGUCAACUUAGCUACCAUUUUUCCAGUGAGAGAAAUGAUACUCUCAGAACACAAGUGACUUGCCCAAGAUCGACUCUGGGUAACAGGUUCUGAUUCAAGCCCUCUGAUUAAAACAUCUAAUACUCAUAUUAUGUCUUGUAACCCAUAUGCAUUAUUUAGGAAACCACAGGACUCUGAGAAAGGGAAAGAAACGUAGGAGCAAUUAUGAGGAUGUUGGGGAAAUUAACAGUGGCUUUAAGUUCACCAACUCUGGUUUAAACAUUUCUUAACAUAGGAGUUUUUAAAAAAGCUCUGCAAAAUUAUAGUGUAUUCAUAUAAUUUAUCAUCUUUUUUUCUCCACCCUAAUCAUAGUUGUUAAACUUAUGUGCCUAAAAUGCAGACCACUUUUGAGUGCAAAUUUACGUGGCACAUACCAAAAAGUGAUCCAAAUUGGAUACAAGGCUGGGGAGAUGCAGUUCGAGCUCACAUUGCCAUUUGCUUCACCAGCUGGCACUGGCUCACAAGAUGCUACCAGAUGGGACUUCAUGAGCCUUCUAAAUCAACAAAGAAAUUCAGAGUGGAGACAUUAAAUAUGCCAUUACUGCUAAAAGCAAGAAAAUGAUAUUACAUACCUAUUUGAUACACUGAGACAGCCUUGAAUCAUAAAUUGAGUAUCUCUUAUGAAAACAGGAAUGAGAAGUGAAGUAAGUACAUUAGACUACAAAUCUGUCUCCUAUACUCCUAAUAAAACUUUUAGUGGAGAACACUUUUAAAGACAGCAAUAGUCUUUUCUCCUCCAUUUGUAAGGACCCUCAAUGUGUAUGGAUAAAGGAGAGGGUUAUGAUGAUGUACUAGGCAGAGACCUCAAAAAGAAAAAGUGUGGCAGAUCUGGGAACUGGUAAAUACAGGAAAUGGUAUCCUCUACUUAGCCACUUCAGCUAAAAAUGCCACUGUUU